rnacentral:rRNA from 1 species
CCUACGGGAGGCAGCAGUGGGGAAUAUUGCGCAAUGGGCGAAAGCCUGACGCAGCGACGCCGCGUGAGGGAUGAAGGUCUUCGGAUCGUAAACCUCUGUUAGCAGGGAAGAACGGUCACUGUGCUAAUCAGCAGUGAAUUGACGGUACCUGAAAAGGAAGCACAGGCUAACUCCGUGCCAGCAGCCGCGGUAAUACGGAGGGUGCGAGCGUUAAUCGGAAUGUUUGGGUGUAAAGCGGUCGUGGGCGGGAUGUAAAGUCAAGGGGGAAAUCCCCGCGCUCAACGUGGGAACUGCCUUUGAAACUGGCUAACUGGAGUGUGUGAGAGGAUAGUGGAAU